AUUGUUCUGUCUUUCUCCCAG
rnacentral:miRNA from 1 species